AUGGUGGGUUGGAAGCAGCAGCCAUUUAAAGGGUGUGCAAGAGCGCACUAGUCGAGUGACGCUGCGCCGCAAAGUGACCGGGGCCAAGCAUAGUACCGAAACUGGGGAUGCAUAUAUUAUAUUCGUGGUAGGAGAGCGUUCUAAGUGCGGUGAAGUUAGAUCGAGAGGACUAAUGGAGCGCUUAGAAGUGAGAAUGCCGGUAUGAGUAGCGAAAGAUAGGUGAGCAUCCUAUCCGCCGAAAGACUAAGGUUUCCUGGGGCAGGCUCGUCCGCCCAGGGUAAGUCGGGACCUAAGGUACGGCAGAGAGGCGUAGCCGAUGGACAACAGGUAGAGAUUCCUGUACUGCACUUGUUAGAUAAGAGCAACGGAGGGACGCAGGCGGCUAAUGACGACUGUGUCAGGAAAUACAUGUGACAGCAGUACGAACACAGAUGAGACA
rnacentral:rRNA from 1 species